CUGAGCGUUGCCUACAGGUUCUCUUGCCUGCUCUUCCCUUCCAGAGAGCCUAGCAGAGUGGAUGGGACAGUCGUGGGCAGCAGCUCGGAAACAGACUUUCAAGCUACCAGCAGGUAAAAGAGUCAGGGUCCAUUCUAGCUCAGUCCUUGCUGGUUCACCUCCCAUCCCAGGAGGAUGCUGUGUGGCUGGAGGCAGCAGCAGGAGGGAAAGCAGGAGAAGCAGUCAUGGAGAAGUCCAUCUUCACAGGGAUUUGGCUCUUGCCCUGAAGGGAGCCUCACAGAUUCCAGACGGCUGCACAAGUCAAAGCAUCACGCCUCUACAGUGUCCCAGAGCCAGGAGAGAGGCUGUUGUUUUUAAAGGCAAGAAGAAUUCCCCAAACUUGGCCAGAAUCGGAGACAAGAUGGAGGGAGAACCACUUUCCAGGCCGGCCACCGACAUGCCCGCGUACAGACACACUUCCUGUGAAACCACGGAUGCAGAUGCUCCAAGCGUAAGCAGCCAGCGUCUUGGAGGUUUCACCAGCCCUCCUUCCUGAUCUUGUUAAUAAAAUCCAAGGUUCCCUUUGCAGUGAAGAAGGGAACACCAAUACUGUA
rnacentral:lncRNA from 1 species